CAGGUGGACCCAGAGCGGACUCAGUGUCAGUUGUGUCCCUACAGCUCAGACCUCUCCCCUGUCCUGUCACCAGGUGAUUGCACAGGAACUUCAAAUUCCAAGCUGAACUUUGGCCCCACUGAACGGGCAGCUGAAGGGCCCCAGAAGGACAGAACCAGUGAAGGAGAAAGGAUGGGUGGGCAAGCGGCUGCCUGUAUCCCUGACUCGGAGCACGGCCAGCUGUGAAGUAGAGUCACCCAGAGUGCCGACCUCGGAGACGAGUGAAGUUGCCGGAUGGACCUCAGCGGACUCCUGAGGCCACAGGCUUGUCUG